UUCGGUGAUGGAGGAGAUUAGUCUGCAAUGGAUGAUGAUGGUAGGUUGUGUGUGUGUGAUGGAUGAAUCUGGGGUGUGUGUGAUGGAUGAAUCUGAGGUGUGCGUGAUGGAUGUUGUUAAGUGUGCCGCGGGUUGGGCAGAGUCGAGGGAUGGAGAGGCAGGUUUGCCAUGAACCUUGCAAAGGCCGAGAGAAAACCAAAUGAAGAUAGGAGAUGUUAGUUUAUGACUGAGAAUAUGGUUAUGGUCACGGGUUGUGCAUGAUGAGGAUGGAGAUUAAUUUUUGCCUUCUCUGUUUUUGAUUUCUGUUUGUGGAAACAAUGAUAGAUAGUAGGGAUUUCGGGGGAGAAUUGGUGUAGGAAAGGGUAGAGAUGUUGUCCGGGAAUGAUGGGAAAAUGUGGUUGGGGUUGGAGGCAUGGCGAAUGGUUUCUUUAUUUGAUUCAACAGUUGAAUUUUUUCAGAGAGGUGAUUA
rnacentral:lncRNA from 1 species